rnacentral:rRNA from 1 species
GACGAACGCUGGCGGCGUGCUUAACACAUGCAAGUCGAACGGAAAGGCCCUGCUUUUGUUGGGUGCUCGUUUGGCGAACGCGUGAGUAACACGUGAGUAAACUGCACUUGUAUUUGGGAUAACAUCAGGAAACUGCGGAUAAUACCGGAUAGGAGAUCCUGCUGCAUGGUGUGCAUUGGAAAGUUUCGGCGGUUGGGGCUGGACUCGCGGCUUCUCCGCUUGUUUGUGAAGUAGUGGCUUACCAGGGCUUUGACGGAUAGCCGGCCUGAGAGGGCGAACGGCGACAUGAGGACUGAGAUACGCCGCAGAAGCCUACGGGAGGCAGUAGGGGAGAAUAUUGCAGAGUGGGCGGGAGCCUGAUGUAGCAGCGCCGCGAGCGGGAUGACGGCUUACUGGUGGUAAACAGCUUUCGCCGUAAAUGAAGCGUUAUUGACGGUACUGAGUCAAGAAGCACCGGCUAACUACGUG